AAAAGAAUAGGUUAAACUUUAGACUAUUAGCCUCAUGAGCUUAAGGUGUAAUAAUUCACUUCUUUUA
rnacentral:tRNA from 1 species